AACCUUAUGGACCUGCGGGCGUAUACCUGCGGAGGGAUCAUUAACAAAUCCAUCAUUCGAUGACCCUACCUUGUGUGCACCUGUAAAAAAUUGCCCUUUGGAGUAAAAGGGUUGGCGUCAGCUCAGGCGGGCCCAGCCUUUUUUCCAAAGGGUUUUUUUAUAAACGUCUUUUGAACAAAAUAAAAUUUUUUAAACCAAUAAAUACAACUUUCAGCAACGGAUCUCAGAUCGGAAGAGCAC
rnacentral:misc_RNA from 1 species